GAUGAACGCUGACAGAAUGCUUAACACAUGCAAGUCUACUUGAACUUCGGUUUGGGUGGCGGACGGGUGAGUAACGCGUAAAGAACUUGCCUCACAGAUAGGGACAACAUUUGGAAACGAAUGCUAAUACCUGAUAUUAUGAUUUUAGGGCAUCCUAGAAUUAUGAAAGCUAUAUGCACUGUGAGAGAGCUUUGCGUCCCAUUAGCUAGUUGGAGAGGUAACGGCUCACCAAGGCGAUGAUAGGUAGCCGGCCUGAGAGGGUGAUCGGCCACAAGGGGACUGAGACACGGCCCUUACUCCUACGGGAGGCAGCAGUGGGGAAUAUUGGACAAUGGACCAAGAGUCUGAUACAGAAAUUCUGUGUGCACGAUGAAGUUUUUCGGAAUGUAAAGUGCUUUCAGUUGGGAAGAAAAAAAUGACGGUACCAACAGAAGAAGUGACGGCUAAAUACGUG
rnacentral:rRNA from 1 species